AUCCCUGCCUUCAAGACCUUCUUGUCUCCAAAAGUGCACCAGGACCUUUCCUGUGCAUUUCCAGUGCCUGUUCUAGAGUAAAGAACAUAAACUUAAUUUACUUAAUAAUUCUAGAGAAUAUUCCUCUGCUCUUGGGUUGGGAAGCUCUUAUCUGUAGAAGACGACUAUCUGUAGAAGAAGAUUUUGGUGAUGACACUUACAGGAGCAAACGGACCAUGUGCCCAGCCAGUAUGUGCACAGCUUUCUGACGUUCCCCAGAGAAGAAUGACAAAUCAGUAAGAAAUACAAUAGAGACAAGAGUGAGUAGAGAAGAGGC